UGGGGAAUAUUGCACAAUGGAGGGAACUCUGAUGCAGCAACGCCGCGUGCGGGAUGACGGCCUUCGGGUUGUAAACCGCUUUCAGCCAUGACGAAGCUUUUGUGACGGUAGUGGUAGAAGAAGCACCGGCUAACUACGUGCCAGCAGCCGCGGUGAUACGUAGGGUGCGAGCGUUGUCCGGAAUUAUUGGGCGUAAAGAGCUUGUAGGCGGUUUUUCGCGUCGAUAGUGUAAACACGCAGCUUAACUGUGUGCCUGCUGUCGAUACGGGCUGACUAGAGGAGGGUAGGGGAGAAUGGAAUUCCCGGUGGAGCGGUGGAAUGCGCAGAUAUCGGGAGGAACACCAGUGGCGAAGGCGGUUCUCUGGACCUUUCCUGACGCUGAGAAGCGAAAGCGUGGGUAGCAAACAGG
rnacentral:rRNA from 1 species